GAAAGAGUUAACUUUUCUUGGUGGCUAUUUUGACAUCAUUUUGCUUUAUCUUUAUAGUGGCCAUAACUUACAUUUUCUUUCACUUCAAAGGGUUUUCUCUUAGUUUUGUCCAGACUUAGUGUCCGCAAUUCCUGCUAUAAUUUCUGAUAUGACAGUUCGUAAACUAAGUUUCACCUCUUCCGUACAAUGGUACCUUAUAAAAUUUAGAAAGUAAAAUUAAAUUAUUUAAUCUUCUCUGUCACAAAUGUCUGGGUUUAGAAUUGAUUAUAUUCCAUUAGCAUUUAGACAGUCUGUCCAACCCCUGUUCUCCUUAUCACUUGGUUUGUAUAUACUAUGCAUUCCUUUAG